GGGCCGCGCUGACAGCGUUUACAUUCAGCGCAGCUCAGAUAAACCAUAUCAACCAGCGCAGAUGAAGGGGAGACGGGGACGAGGAAGGAAGGGACACGCUCCUGGUUAGUGUCAGCCCUGCCGGGCCGUUGUUUUUCCCUGCUGUCUUGCUUCCUGAGCGGCUUUUCUCCGAGCGGGGAGCUGCAAGGGGAUUAGAGAGGAGAAAAGGGGCCCCAGCUCUUCAACAGGUAAAACCGAGCUCGGCUGAGCCCGGUGCUGGCUCUGAACCCGGGGCGGUCGGGGCACGGAGGUGCCUGCAGCACCCAGCACCGCGCUGCGGGGCAAAGCCCCGGCGUGUCACCUCGGUGCAGAUAAGGCAGGAGAAAAAGACGGGAAAUGUCCUCCAAGUCGGCUGGAGCCUGCAGACUUGGUCCCUGGAGGCUUCUCGCCCUGCAUCACCCGGGACACCGGAGGGCCGGUAGCAGAGAGCGCUGAGCGUGCUGGAGCCGGUUUCUGCUCCCGGGGCUCUGCCGGAGCGGCCGGCCCUCUGAGCCCCUCCGGGACCAGCACAGCUCAUUUUUAACGUGCUCGGCACAAGCGAGUGGUGCUCCCAUGCCGCCCGGAGACCAUCCCGCAGCCCGGGCGACUCCGGAGAGGGUCCCGGCACGGGAAAGCCCGCGGUGCUUGGGGCUCACCCCCCCGACAGUGCAUCCCUCCAGGGCUGGAAGGGCUGCUCCGGACUCCCUUAACCAAGUAAACUGGGCCAUUUUAGGGCUGUUUUGGAUAAACUCAGAGCUGCGCUAACACUCCUGACCAAGCAUUCGAACACGCCUGCCUCUGGUCGGGCUCAGUCGAAUAACACCCCGGCACCGUCCCCAGCAGACGUGCUCUGCAGGAGGAGGACUUCUUCACGCCAUGAGCUUGCUGGGGCUAAUUCUUAAUAGUAACUUCUGAAAAGCUUGGCCAGUGUCAACCAAAUUUGACCGAGGACUGAAAAACAUCCCUGCUUUGUAAAGCAGUGAGCUGGAAAGACCCACUGAGGGAAACCGCGACAUGACCCAACCGUGCUGGGACCCAACCCGCUGCAACGUGAUUCAGCCAUAGCAUCAGGCACGAGAGGAGCCGCAUGGGACAGAGCCACAGAAAACUUGGCUUCUGCUGCUCAGGGAACUGUUUGUUGUUUUUAAAGGCUGGGAACUGUCUCACAGUCUGCGGAGGUCGUGGGUGAGGUAUCUCGUGGUGGUUACCGCUCCAGGUCUCACUUCCAGCUCUGCCCUGCAGGCCCCUGAGGCGGGGGGGAGCCGCUGUUUCCAUGCCUCUCCGGCUGGGAGGCAUUGCUCCCGGAUUUAUCCGGCAUGGAGCCGUGCAUCAGCCUCACCACUGCUGCUACAGGUCGUUCCCGUUAGUCCCAUACAGCUAAUCCUCUCGGAGCGUGCCCCAGGCCGGCCGGGCUGGCUGGGCAUGAGACCACGUAUCUCCGGACACAUGGAGAUUUGCACCAGGUACCUGGAAGCCAAGUGAGAGCACGGAGAAGGAAACGGUCCCCCGCCGGCAGCCACAGCCCAGGCUUCGCUUGAGCCCUCCGGCUGCUAACGAGCACCCGCCCGCCCGCAGGCUGGUGGCACCUGGGCACCCAGUGAGGGUGGCACUGAGCCCAGGGGCAGUCCUCGCCCCGGCGCCGGACCCCCGCCCCGAGGUGCCCCCCGGCAGGACGGACGCGGCCCGCCAGCCGCCUCGCGAAAGAAAGCAGGAGGAGACGCAGCGGUUUGAGCGCUUUAUCCACCGAAGAUACAAGUUUCAGUUUAAUAACACCAUUCGGUCCGGUUACAAACAUACUAAAAACCUACAAAAAGAAAAACAGUUACAUCCAUCGUACACGAAACGGCAUGUAUAAAACCAGCACGGAAGCGCCGAGGAACACGCACACGAACGGUAUCCGUAGCAGUAUCGCUAACAGCAGAGACACAGAGUUACAUCGGACCACGCCGGCUCAUGUCUGUGGGUCACCGUGGGACUCGUUAGAGACAUACUAACAAUUAGAGACAACUUCAGCUAUGGAAAAUAGUUAGCGUUACAGUCUGUUAAAUAGGUCAGGCCCACACGGGUAAUUUUAUCCCUCUCUUUCUGCUAAGCUGGUCCAAGCUUAGUUAAUAUUUUUUUCCCCUUCCUUGCAAGUAUCUGCCUUUCUUUCUGCUGUCACCGGUGCCGGCCCCGAGCAGUCCCCGCGCCGACGUCAGCGCGACAGGGCGAUUUCCUACGCAACGGGCAGGGAAGGCUGAGCUCUGGCCGCAGAGUCCAGCGAGCCGAGGUCUGGUCCCCACCGAAGUCGGUGAGCGCGUCCCCAGGGAGCGGAGGGACGCUAUGCUCCCCCUUCCCGCAUCGAAGGGAAUCAGAGCGGCAGAAAUGCCGCAGCAUUUCCCCGUCAGAGUCUGCGAGUUUGGCUAC